AUUGAACGCUGGCGGCAGGCCUUACACAUGCAAGUCGAACGAGUGGCGGACGGGUGAGUAAUGUCUGGGAAACUGCCUGAUGGAGGGGGAUAACUACUGGAAACGGUAGCUAAUACCGCAUACCAUCAGAUGUGCCCAGAUGGGAUUAGCUAGUUGGUGGGGUAACGGCUCACCAAGGCGACGAUCCCUAGCUGGUCUGAGAGGAUGACCAGCCACACUGGAACUGAGACACGGUCCAGACUCCUACGGGAGGCAGCAGUGGGGAAUAUUGCACAAUGGGCGCAAGCCUGAUGCAGCCAUGCCGCGUGUAUGAAGAAGGCCUUAGGGUUGUAAAGUACUUUCAGCGGGGAGGCGUUACCCGCAGAAGAAGCACCGGCUAACUCCGUGCCAGCAGCCGCGGUAAUUC
rnacentral:rRNA from 1 species